GAAGGAAUUGGUUGACACAUCCCAUAUUCGUCGACCCGGUUUUUGGUCGGGGAUUUGAUGCCUGAAAGUGUCACCUAAAGUAAAAAAUCUAGUUUGACGUAUGUGCCGCGGUUGUUUGUCAACAAGAGUUCGUCUUUAAGAUAAAGGCAUGCAGUGUUGUACAAAUUGUUUUAGUUGUGAUUCUGCACAUGAAGACCCUGUACAUGUAGUGUUUGAUUACCCUUUGGCUACACAAGUUUGGCAAAUGGUUGGGAUGUGGAACGAUAUACACAAAGAUGUUCUUACCACUACUUCGACAUCAGAAGCCGUCUUCUUAUUACUACAACACGGGAAUCUUAAACCAUGGCACGAUGUU
rnacentral:lncRNA from 1 species